UACGUAGGGGGCAAGCGUUGUCCGGAAUUAUUGGGCGUAAAGAGCGUGUAGGCGGCCAGAUAAGUCCGCUGUGAAAUCUCGAGGCUCAACUUCGAGCUGUCGGUGGAAACUAUCUGGCUAGAGUCCGGAAGAGGAGAAUGGAAUUCCUGGUGUAGCGGUGAAAUGCGCAGAUAUCAGGAAGAACACCCGUGCGAAGGCGGUUCUCUGGGACGGUACUGACGCUGAGGCGCGAAAGCGUGGGGAGCAAACAGG
rnacentral:rRNA from 1 species